GCCGCCGUAGCUCAGCCCGGUUAGAGCGGCGGGCUGUUAACCCGUAGGUCCCGGGUUCAAAUCCCGGCGGCGGCGCCA
rnacentral:tRNA from 2 species